AAAAAAAAAAAAAAAAAAACACCAGUGAAAAACUGAAGACAAGUAGAAGGAUGUUCCUGCUAAUCACUGGCCUUCCUAAAACAUGGUACCCAGAACGACACACUACUCCAGAAGCCUUCUGUCUUAAAUGAGUAACAUUUAGAUCAUCGCUUCUCUCAAGACUAAUAUUGCCAUGCAUCACUCUUGCCUUUUAUUGAUCUUGUAAUCCACUAUUACUCCCCAUUUUUUCACAUGAACUUUUUUGUCUUUGUCUACACUUUAUACUAAUUAAAAUGAUUUUUUUUGAAUCAGUGAAGACCUUGGCAUUUAUUUCUAUGAAAUUAAGUCCACUGUUUUAAAUUUAUCAUUGCCCUCUAAAUUGUAAAUCCUUAUCAUGGCCUACCAGAGUUCUCCUCCAAAAUCUCAACAUGGCAUGGAGAUGCCCCCUGAUUCUUAAAGGCUAUAUCAACAUCAUAACAAAUGACAGGUUUUGGAAUAACAUGAAUUUGAGAAUGGGCCAAAGGACUAACAAUACAUUUAUCUUACAGAAAACCAAUCUUCAUUACUAAAGAGCUAUCCAAGAGGUGAUUAAUUUUUUUUAGCCACUAGUAAUCUUUAAAAUCCAGAAACUGCCCAGAGCUUUGAUCUGUUACUGGAGGGACUACCUAGACCCCCAUAAUCACAUAUCCUUAAAGUAUGCAAA